rnacentral:lncRNA from 1 species
AGAUGACCAAGCUUGAAAGAAAAAGGGUUGUCUUCCAUUUGUUCCAUGUUUGCCGUACCUACACCAAAAGAAAGAGAAAAUUUGUUUGCCUUCUUAUCUUUCAUCUCCACCAUAUUUCUCCAUAAAGACAAAGCCUUCAUCCAUGCAAAAUUUGUUCCUAGGUGUAAUAACCAGCAAAGAAACCAUAGAGAAGGAGGGAAGAAGAAAAGAAGUUUAGGUGCUUAAGUGGUAAGUGAUAGGAAUUGAAAACUAGGUUAGGUAAACAUAUUCUUUCAUGUUUCAAUCAAUUAUAUGCUGUUAAAUGAAUUAAAACUCAUGUUUUUCUUAUUCUUUGUAAAGAACAAAAUCAAAAGGAGGAAGGUACAUCAAGGGAGAAAGGCAAGGAAAAAGAGUAACUAAAGUGUACCUAAAGAUUUUGAAAAGAAUUUGCAAAAGGUUUGGUGAUUGUAUGAAGUUCUGUUUUUCCUUUGAUUUUCUCAUGAAUAUGUAAAAUUAGGGAUUGGUUUUGAUUGCUGGAAAUGCUCUUUUGAUUGUAUGGAUCUAUAAUAUGAAUGUUGAAAUGAUGAUUGGAAGGUUUAAAGCACAUAGAUACAACAUGGGAGCCAAAAACAUAAAACUGGCAGAAUAGGUUCCAACAUGACAGUCUGUGUUGGAAGCCUCAUAACUUAUUGUGUAAUCAUUGAAAUUAAGCCUAAAAUAUAUCAAAUGAAAGCUAAGACAAAAAGCUAAAACUUUCCUGUGUGACCAAAUUCAGAAUCCGUAGUUAAUUAUAUAUAAAUUGCUAAUGAACUUAAACUGGUCACAUGGGAUUGUGCAUUCGGAACAGUUUGUAUCACUUAGACCAUAACCAACGAUUUACUCAAUGAAACGAAUUAAGACCAGUGCCAAAUGAACCCUGGAAAGUAUACCUAAAACUUUGUACAAGAAAGUUAAGCUUGAAUCUAUAUGCAAAUGUCUGCAUAUGAUAUGUUUUGUUAGAUUAAAAACAGAUACCCAAACUGUACUAGUUAGAACCUGAUUGAGCAGCUUGCAAAAAAAAAUUCAUAACUUAAGUUAGGAAUGUUAGAAUUAGAUGUAAUAUAUAUUGUUAGAAAGCUAAGACAUAAAUAUGCAAAGUUCAUGCAGAAAGGUGAGUCUAAUUAUAUCCACAAGAUACUAAAAAAUGUAAUACAAUUUUAGGCAGAAACAAACCUAAAUGUAAAUGUUGACCUAAAAGGGAUUGACAUGCUAGUUUUGCGGCCAAAUUACGCACAUGCUAGCUUGACAUACCUGCUUUACGCACGUGCUAGCUUAGUAGACUAAAACUUUACACACAUGUUCUUGAUGAAAUAAUAAUAUGUUUAUGGCUGAAUAAUAUGCCCAUGAGUGAAUAUGGUCUAUUACACACAUAUGUAUGCUCUUAAGGACUCUUUUUAUUUAUGUGCUUGCUUAUGAAUAUAUAGUUCAACAUAUUUGCUUGUUUCAACAUGUUAAGCAUCUAAAUGAAUAAUUUUAAUACCAAUAAAUAUUUAACAUGUAAAUAUGCAUUCUUGGCCCUAGUAAACCUCAGUGGGAGUCAUAGAUAGCAUAAGGGUAUGGCGUGCCAUAUAUAGUUUAGCAAUACUGCGCCCUAAUGGGCUACAUGAUAUGAUAUUUCGACACAUUACGUUUCAUACAGUUUUCCGGCUUUUUUUAGCCAUACAGGCACAGCAUUCGGCCCCCAGGCCAUACAGUUUGGCACUUUGUGCUAUACAGAUACAAUUUUUCCUUAUCUAGCUAGUUGAUCCUACGAAGAGUUUAUAGGGGGCUAAGAUUUAAUUCUAUGACUUGUUAAUUGCUAGCAUGCACACAAGAUGGUUACCAAAAUAUGAAUGACCUUACAGUUAUAAAAUUUCAUGACCUAAUUUGUCCACUUUUCACCCACUGAUACAUAAAAUUUUCACUUGCUUUUUAUAAAAUGAUUUCAUUAUAUCUGUCAUGAGUAUUCCUAUUAUACUUGAAUGAAUAUAUAUAUUGUUAUUCACCCACUGGGCAUAAGCUCAGCGCAUUGGACUUUCCAAGCGCAGGUAUUAGAUAGAGGAAGCAACAGUUAGGAGGUCUGGUUCUGCAUCAGUACAGAGACAUUAUCAUAACCAGUUAUUCAUAAGAUUUGUACAGAG